GAUGAACGCUGGCGGCGUGCCUAAUACAUGCAAGUCGAGCGAACAGAUAAGGAGCUUGCUCCUUUGAAGUUAGCGGCGGACGGGUGAGUAACACGUGGGUAACCUACCUAUAAGACUGGGAUAACUUCGGGAAACCGGAGCUAAUACUGGAUAACAUUUAGAACCGCAUGGUUCUAAAGUGAAAGAUGGUUUUGCUAUCACUUAUAGAUGGACCCGCGCCGUAUUAGCUAGUUGGUAAGGUAACGGCUUACCAAGGCGACGAUACGUAGCCGACCUGAGAGGGUGAUCGGCCACACUGGAACUGAGACACGGUCCAGACUCCUACGGGAGGCAGCAGUAGGGAAUCUUCCGCAAUGGGCGAAAGCCUGACGGAGCAACGCCGCGUGAGUGAUGAAGGGUUUCGGCUCGUAAAACUCUGUUAUUAGGGAAGAACAAAUGUGUAAGUAACUGUGCACAUCUUGACGGUACCUAAUCAGAAAGCCACGGCUAACUACGUG
rnacentral:rRNA from 1 species